rnacentral:lncRNA from 1 species
GCUUUGAGCUGCCCAGGUGAAGCAGAAGCUGCUCCCACCUUUGCUGCCCUCCCAGGCUGGGCUGAGGGGUGGGCACAGCCCCUGGGGCUCACACUGCUCACAGACAGAGCCCAGCAGUGCCCACGUGGGGAGGAGGCAGCAGCUCUGUGCAGCCCGGUGCAGCUCUGUGCAGCUCUGUACAGCACUGGUGCAGCUCUGGUGCAGCUCUGUACAGCUCUGUGCAGCACUGGUACAGCUCUGUGCAGCUCUGUACAGCUCUGUACAGCUCUGUGCAGCACUGGUGCAGCUCUGUGCAGCUCUGUGCAGCUCUGUGCAGCACUAGUGCAGCUCUGUGCAGCUCUGUGCAGCACUGGUGCAGUUCUGGUACAGCUCUGUGCAGCUCUGGUGCAGCUCUGUACAGCUCUGUGCAGCACUGGUACAGCUCUGUGUAGCACUGGUGCAGCUCUGUGCAGCUCUGUGCAGCUCUGGUGCAGCUCUGUGCAGCUCUGUACAGCACUGGUGCAGCUCUGGUGCAGCUCUGUAGAUAGCACUGGUGCAGCUCUGGUGCAGCUCUGUGCAGCUCUGUACAGCUCUAUACAGUUUUGUGCAGCCCUGUACAGCACUGGUGCAGCUCUGUGCAGCUCUGGUGCAGCACUGGUAUAGGUCUGGUGCCGCUCUGUGCAGCCCGGUGCAGCUCUGUGCAGCUCUGUGCAGCUCUGUGCAGCUCUGUGCAGCUCAGGGCAGGGCUGUGCCACGUUCAAGGACCCCGGGGCUGAGGCUGGCUCAGUGUUUUGUCCCAAAAUCCCUUCCACAGACCAGGCCAAUGCUGGGCCCUGUGGCUGUGCCUCUGUGCCCUGUCCAGGUCAGCGCAGUGACCAGGUCACCACGGCCCGGCCACGUGGCCAGAGCUCUGCACCCUGUGUCCAUCACGGCCUGGGGGAGGCUCCUCUGGGCUAAAGGAACCAAACCUGCAUUAUUUCAUCCUUUGCAACAGGACAGACCUUUGACGUGCCUUGCUGGGCUUUAGGCUUUCCUUUUUCCAUCCUUGCUCCCUCGGGUGUUUCAGGGUGACACCACCCACAGCAG